rnacentral:rRNA from 1 species
CACCUGUUUAUCAAAAACAUGGUUUUAUGAUUAUAUUUUAAGAUUUAUUCUGCUCAAUGAUAAUAUAUUAAUUAUUAAAUAGCCGCAGUAUUUUGACUGUGCAAAGGUAGCAUAAUCAAUUGUCUUUUAAUUAAAGACUGGAAUGAAGGAAUGAAUGAAAUUUGAACUGUCUAUAAUAAAAAAUUAAAAUUUAAAUUUUAAGUUAAAAUGCUUAAAUGAAAUUAUGGGACGAGAAGACCCUAUAGAAUUUUAUAUAAAUUUUUAAAUAAUGUAUGAGUUGAAAAAAAUAAAAUUUAAAAUUAUAUUUUAUUGGGAGGAUAAUUAAAUUAAUUUAACUUUAUUAAUCAAUAAUAUAUAUAUAUAUAUAUAUAUAUAUAUAUAUAUAUAUAUAUAUGAAACAUUAAUUUAUGAAAAGAUGAAUAAAUUUUUAUUGAAUUUAUAUUAGAAUUAAUUACCUUAGGGAUAACAGCGUUAUAUUUUUUAAAAGAUCAUAUUAAGAAAAAUGUUUGCGACCUCGAUGUUGAAUUAAAGUAAAAAUUAAAUGAAGAAGUUUAAUAUUUUAGUCUGUUCGACUAUUAAAAUUUUACAUGAUUUGAGUUCAAAUCGACG